UUAUAAGAGACAGGUGAAUCAUCGAAUCUUUGAACGCACAUUGCGCCCUUUGGUAUUCCUUAGGGCAUGCCUGUUCGAGCGUCAUUUGAAACCUCAAGCUCAGCUUGGUGUUGGGUGUCUGUCCCCGCCUCCGCGGGGACUCGCCUCAAAAUCAUUGGCGGCCGGUACGUUGGCUUCGAGCGCAGCAGAAACGCGAACUCGAGGCCCGGCGGAUCGGCGACCAGAAGUCUCUUCUUCACAGUUUGACCUCGGAUCAGGUAGGGAUACCCGCUGAACUUAAGCAUAUCAAUAAGCGGAGGA
rnacentral:misc_RNA from 1 species